CUGUAGAAAGAAAGGAAAAAGAUUGAUGGGACAGGUGAAUUAAUUAAAAAGAGGGGAAGUUGGAAAAAGGAAAAAAAGAUGACGUGAGGAGGGCAUUAUUUAUUCAACAAAUUGAGACUUGAAGGAGGACAGUUUUUGGGCAGAGGACUUGUGACAGAAAAGAGGAGAGGAGAGAGGAGGAAGGAACGAUCCAUGCUCCAUCCCGGAGGAGAUCAUCCAUCAUCUAGAGUUGGAGAACACCACGGAGUUCACGGUUCACGGUUCUUUUGGUGUAAUUAAUUCUAAGUUGUAGCUAGAAGGCUAAGUCGAGCCAACGACUUUAAACAAAGGAGCAACGUGGAUAUAGGAUGCACAUUCGAGCUUAGAAGGAAGCACACCUACAAAGGAUUUUUACACCCACCCUCCCACCCGAAUGUACUAUGGAUGUCAUGACAAGUUUGGGGGAGUCUUCUUUCCCUUUACUUUUUAUGUCUUCUUUGCAUUCAUCGAGGACAAUGAUGCAUUCAAGUUUGGGGGGGUUGUGAAUGAUUUGAUGCAUGUUUUUGGGUGUAUGGUAUGCUAAAAGUGUUUUGAAUCAUGUAAUUGACGGAUGCAUGCUAGAUCUUCGACUUUCUGGUUGGGAAAUUUUGCUUGAUUUUACUUGAUCUUUGAAGCUUAGGAUGGAUGGAAUUUGUGCAUGAUUUAUUUGAAAGAGCAUGUUGUGAUUACAUCCGAUUUCUUGAGUUGAGGAGAGUAUGAAAAUUACAUGUCUUGUGGAGAUUAUCUUGGAUUGAAUUGUUUUAUCGAGUUGCGUGCUUGCAUUCAUUUGUGUUAACGAUAUGGGAGGAUAAGGCACUAGGAUGAACUCCAUGGCCAAAUGAUCACAUGCCUAGUCCUAUACAUGAUCCCCUAGAAGUCACUUUGAGCUUAAUUUCCUAUUAUUUGUGUAAACACUUAGCCAAUCACUUAGCUACUUAAAUAAGCCUUAUUUUAGCCUCAUCAAUAGACCUUGCUACUAUUUGAGUGCUAAAUACAAGUUGAGCUUGGUGUUUUGAGUUGUGAGUGUGGGGGUGGUGAACUGUAAAGAGUAGACUUAUCUAGACUUGAUAUAAUGUGAAAAGAAUGAAGUUCUUAGAAAAGAAAAAAAAAAGAAAAGAAAAAGACGACCUCAAAAUUCGCAAAAGUCGAGGUCUUUACAAAAAAGAAAAAAAAAAGAAAAAAAUUUUGAUGAAAUAA